CUUUGUGCUUACAUAUUUGAAUGAGCCACUCCCAUCUCUCGUGUUUCAUCAUUAGGGCUCGAAGCCCUUGAUCAAGUCAUAUCUCCAUGUGUAUCACUACCUUAAGUACGUAGGCUGAGAAGCAAAAGGAGGAAUCCGCCCAAAGAGGGGCUUGCGUCUGAUUAGCUAGUUGGAUGCAAUAGCUUACCAAGGCGAUGAUCAGUAGCUCGUCCGAGAGGAUGAUUAGCCACACUGGGACUGAGACACAGCCCAGACUCCUACAAGAGGCAGCAGUAAGGAAUUUCUGCAAUAGGCGAAAGCCUGAUGGAGCAAUGAUG
rnacentral:ncRNA from 1 species